UACGUAGGUGGCAAGCGUUAUCCGGAUUUACUGGGUGUAAAGGGCGUGUAGGCGGGAUGGUAAGUCAGAUGUGAAAACUAUGGGCUCAACCCAUAGCCUGCAUUUGAAACUAUCGUUCUUGAGUGUUGGAGAGGCAGACGGAAUUCCUAGUGUAGCGGUGAAAUGCGUAGAUAUUAGGAGGAACACCAGUGGCGAAGGCGGCUUUCUGGACUGAAACUGACGCUGAGGCACGAAAGCGUGGGGAGCGAACAGG
rnacentral:rRNA from 1 species